rnacentral:rRNA from 1 species
AGAGUUUGAUCAUGGCUCAGGACGAACGCUGGCGGCGUGCUUAACACAUGCAAGUCGAGCGGUAAGGCCCUUUCGGGGGUACACGAGCGGCGAACGGGUGAGUAACACGUGGGUAACCUGCCCUCAGCUCUGGGAUAAGCCCGGGAAACUGGGUCUAAUACCGGAUAUGACCCCGCAUCGCAUGGUGCGGGGUGGAAAGCCUUGUGCGGCUGAGGAUGGACCCGCGGCCUAUCAGCUUGUUGGUGGGGUAGUGGCCUACCAAGGCGACGACGGGUAGCCGGCCUGAGAGGGCGACCGGCCACACUGGGACUGAGACACGGCCCAGACUCCUACGGGAGGCAGCAGUGGGGAAUAUUGCGCAAUGGGCGAAAGCCUGACGCAGCGACGCCGCGUGAGGGAUGACGGCCUUCGGGUUGUAAACCUCUUUCAGCUCCGACGAAGCGAGAGUGACGGUAGGAGCAGAAGAAGCACCGGCCAACUACGUGCCAGCAGCCGCGGUAAUACGUAGGGUGCAAGCGUUGUCCGGAAUUAUUGGGCGUAAAGAGCUCGUAGGCGGUUUGUCGCGU